rnacentral:rRNA from 1 species
CCUACGGGAGGCAGCAGUGAGGAAUAUUGGUCAAUGGCCGUAAGGCUGAACCAGCCAAGUCGCGUGAUGGAAGAAGGAUCUAUGGUUUGUAAACUUCUUUUAUAGGGGAAUAAAGGUAUCCACGUGUGGAUAUUUGCAUGUACUCUAUGAAUAAGCAUCGGCUAACUCCGUGCCAGCAGCCGCGGUAAUACGGAGGAUGCGAGCGUUAUCCGGAUUUAUUGGGUUUAAAGGGUGCGUAGGUUGUGUUUUAAGUCAGCGGUGAAAUUUUGUGGCGUAAACAUAAAAUUGCCGUUGAUACUGGAAGACUUGAGGGUGUUUGAGGUAGGCGGAAUGCGUGGUGUAGCGGUGAAAUGCAUAGAUAUCACACAGAACUCCGAUUGCGAAGGCAGCUUACUAAGCCAUAACUGACACUGAAGCACGAAAGCGUGGGGAGCAAACAGGAUUAGAUACCCGAGUAGUC